rnacentral:lncRNA from 1 species
CUAGGGAUCCCGUGGUUCUUGGCUUGGCCAGCAGCUUAAUCGGCGGCUGCAUGUUGAUUAUAACCCUUAAUUAGUAGAGAAUUAACGAUCUAAUCCUAGAUUAUCGCCAAAACGUUCAGAUAGAAUUUGGCGGGACCAGUUGUAGAUGCUCUUAGUAAGUAAAAAUUCACUAUCGGGUCAAAAAGCAAGCCGAACAACAAUGCAUGGAAUUGCCAUUGAGAUUUUCAAUCCAUUUUCCUAUAGUGGUUACAAAGCAGGAGUUGAACAAAGUGCGACAUCGCACAGACCGGGCUGCAUGAAACCCGUUUUACCAAAAAAUCAUAAUAUACUUAAAUGUUUUAGAAAAUGUCAUUUUUUAUAUAAAUACAUACGCAUGGUCAUCAAAUAUGUAAAAAGUUUCAUUAGGUAAUUCGAUUAUUUGCAUUCUACACAGAAAAUAUGAAUAUCUGGCCCAAAAACAACAAAGACAAAGCCCAUUUUAAUGUGUGUAUUUAUCUUUUCUGUAUAUGUUACAUCAGAGCAUAUAUGUUUAUGGAAAUUUGUAUGUGUGUACUACAAAUACACAUCUAUGUAUAUAGUUUUUUCAGAUUUUUUUCAGUGUGCGGAAAUAGUAUUUUGCCUGAAAAAAAUAAAGAGCUAUGUGGAGCUCGGUCUCUUCGGUGCUUUUUUGAAAUUGAACAAUUGUACAUAAAAUUGUAGUGCUUGAGAUCUUCAAUCAAAUUUCCUAUAGUAAAAUCAUCCUCUCACAGAAGUGGGAAGGAAAGAUUAAUUAGUAAUUUUUAGCGGGAGAUUAAUUAGAGAAUUGACAAAUUAUAUUCAAAUAGAACUCACAACAAACACCAAAAAUGCAAAGUCCACCACUAUGUUGCAUAGUUUUAGAGCAUUGUAUACCACAUACUUGAUACUCAUUGAUGAUUUAGUUUAUAACGCGUGUUCAAAAAUGCAUUAGGAGCUCAUAUUCUCCAUGCAUGGCCUCAGCCAAGACUACGAUUGAGGAACAAAAAUAAGAGAAGACCCGAUCAUCACUAGAUUGAAGUAAAUGCAUGUUAACAAAUAUAAAAUUACGAGAGGUAUAUUCUACCAUGAAUAAAGAAGACCCGAUCUGAAUUGCUGCAUCUUUUAUGGCUUGGUGAAAACAAGGGAGUACACAUGCACAGACCACAAAUGUUCCUGAUCUGAACCACGUCCUUCACCUCGCCUCCUCGUCUCAGCGCGUGCCAUCUGAAGCACCUCACCGCCUUCACCCUCGGUCUGCGUGUCUGCACUGCCUGGCUUUGGCCACGGCGCAAUGCACGGGCCUGCGCCUGCGCCUGCGCCUGUAGCAGCCGCCUCGGGCUCCAAGCUCCUCGUUGUGCAGUAAGCCUAGAGCCAAGUGCACCGGACCAUGUAAGCAUUGUAUCCUUGUCUCAAAAAAAAUGCAAGCAUUGCAUCCCGAUCAAAUCUCUCUUUUUUCUUUUCUCAUCAUCUGAUCCGAUCCAAUCUCUUCAUUUAUUUUCGUCUUUGGAGCCUUUAUAUUUAACAAGACUGAGAUUGUUGUACCUAGACGACCUGGCAAAAGAGGAAUACAAGGGCAACAACAGUGGACCCAAAUUAAAGGUGGGAGCGCUUCAUGAAGAAAAGAUGAGAGUGAUCCCAUUGCCUCCUAUCUUGGCUCUGCAACCGCAUGCACGAGCCUUCCCACCAUGCAAAGACCCCGAUGAGGCGUACCUGCGGAAGUGGCGGCCUAGGUUUAGGGUCGGAUCCAUUGCCGCGCCGAAUGAUUGGAGCUCAACCCAGAUCGUGGUGCGUCAAACUUGUUCAAGAACUGGUGCAUGAACCGCUCGCCGGCAGCGACAACGGGGAGGAGGUCAUCGGAUCGGGUCAAAGCCCUGCUGGUGGCAUCUCCACCUUCGAGCUAGAAAACCAAUGUCUCGCCGUCCCACAGCCCGAAGGAUAGGAGAGCAAGAAUGGGGGUGGAGAUAGCAGGAGGGAAGACGUGCGUGCCUAUGUUGGGGCUAGGUUGGGCGGUUGGUGAUUGCAUAGGGGAGACUGUCUGCAUGGGUAGUUUUUUUUUUCUUUUGGUUUAAAAUUUAAAUCACUCUAAACCAGACGUGGG